rnacentral:rRNA from 1 species
AAUGAACGUUGGCGGCGUGGAUUAGGCAUGCAAGUCGUGCGAGAAGUCUUUUGCUUGCAUUAGACGGACAGCGGCGAAAGGGAGAGUAACGCGUGGACUACCUACCCCCGAGUCCGGGAUAGCUGCGGGAAACUGCAGGUAAUACCGGAUAACAUCUCCGGAUCAAAGGUGUGAUUCCGCUUGGGGACGGGUCCGCGUCCUAUUAGCUUGUUGGUGGGGUAACGGCCUACCAAGGCAACGAUGGGUACCGGGCGUGAGAGCGUGGCCCGGCUCACUGGGACUGAGACACUGCCCAGACACCUACGGGUGGCUGCAGUCGAGAAUCUUCGGCAAUGGACGAAAGUCUGACCGAGCGACGCCGCGUGCGGGAUGAAGGCCUUCGGGUUGUAAACCGCUGUCAGAGGGGAUGAAAUGCCCGGUGGUAAUUCAUAAUCCAUCGGGUU